GCCAUUAUGGUGUAAUGGUUUGAGCACUGAACUAUACCUCCAGAGACCAGAGUUCAAUUUCCUGUUCAGACA